UACAGAGGUCCCGAGCGUUAGGCGGAAUCACUGGGCUUAAAGCGUGUGUAGGUGGAUCGUUAAGUACCUUGUGAAAUCCCACGGCUUAACCGUGGAACUGCUUGGUAUACUGGCGGUCUUGAGCCAGCUAGGGGCUACCGGAACAAAUGGUGGAGCGGUGAAAUGCGUAGAUAUCAUUUGGAACGCCAACGGAGAAAUCAGGUAGCUGGGGGUGUGCUGACGCUGAGACACGAAAGCCAGGGGAGCGAACGGG
rnacentral:rRNA from 1 species